rnacentral:lncRNA from 1 species
GUAUAACAUAUAUUUAAAAGACCAUCAGUUCUGUCUGACCUUGUUUUUCUCCACUAAAAACUGACUUCCUGCUAAAUGUGUGACAGAAACAGUGACAGACAGCAAAGAGGAAGGAGGAGGGUGGACUUGGUCUGACUGCUACAUGCUGCUGAGCUCAGAUGACCAGGACUCAACAUGGAGGAAUCAUGUCUGCUGUGGCUGCUCGCCUCUCUGAAGAUCAGUCCUCACAGAUCUCAGCUGUUUGAAGGAGAGUCUGUCUCUCUGAGGUGUGAGGAGGACGACAGCUCUGAUGGAUGGACGGUGACGAGGAACACGACUGAAGGAACCAAGACUCAGUGUGGAGCUGACUGGGGAAGGAAAGAUGGUUCUUCCUGUAACAUCAGCUACAUGAGGACAGUGGACAGUGGAGUUUACUGGUGUGAGUCCACAGGCGGAGCAGCCAGUAGCAGCAUCAACAUCAUUGUCACUGGUAAGAUGAGGCUGUUGUAACUCCAGCAGGUCUGAACACUGAGUCUGUCUUUCACCUUUUCACUUUGGCUGAGCCUGAGAGAGACAAAGACAAGAAGACAGACAGGUGACCUUCAGGAGGCAACAACACUGGGUGGAGCACUGAGUCUGCCUCCUCAACAUGUU